GACGAACGCUGGCGGCGUGCCUAAUACAUGCAAGUAGAACGCAGUUGCGAACGGUUGCGUACCGCUUAGUUACCCUUCCUCAUAGCUGGGGAUAACUAUUGGACACGAUCGCUAAUACCGCAUACUUUGAGAUGGACCUGCGUUUUAUUCGCUAGUUGGUGAGGUAAAGGCUCACCAAGGCGACGAUACAUAGCCGACCUGAGAAGGGGAUCUGCCCACCUGGGACCGAGAAAAGGCCCAGAAUCCUGAGGGAGGGCGCAGGAGGGAAACUUCGGGAAUGGAAGGAAGGCUGACCGAGUAACGCCGCGUGAGUGAAGAAGGUGUUCGGGACGGAAAGAUCUGUUGGUAGAGAAGCGGUAACUAACCAGAAAGGGACGGCUAACUACGUGCCAGCCGCCGCGGUAAUAC
rnacentral:rRNA from 1 species